rnacentral:rRNA from 1 species
GAUGAACGCUGGCGGCGUGCCUAAUACAUGCAAGUCGAGCGAACAGAUAAGGAGCUUGCUCCUUUGACGUUAGCGGCGGACGGGUGAGUAACACGUGGGUAACCUACCUAUAAGACUGGAAUAACUCCGGGAAACCGGGGCUAAUUCCGGAUAACAUUUAGAACCGCAUGGUUCUAAAGUGAAAGAUGGUUUUGCUAUCACUUAUAGAUGGACCCGCGCCGUAUUAGCUAGUUGGUAAGGUAACGGCUUACCAAGGCAACGAUACGUAGCCGACCUGGGAGGGUGAUCGGCCACACUGGAACUGAGACACGGUCCAGACGCCUACGGGAGGCAGCAGUAGGGAAUCUUCCGCAAUGGGCGAAAGCCUGACGGAGCAACGCCGCGUGAGUGAUGAAGGUCUUCGGAUCGUAAAACUCUGUUAUUAGGGAAGAACAAAUGUGUAAGUAACUGUGCACGUCUUGACGGUACCUAAUCAGAAAGCCACGGCUAACUACGUG